GAGCAUGCUUAUCUUUGGGUAAAGUCUCAUUCUGCAAGUAAUAAAUGAAUUUAUUAUGCCAAUUCCAAAAUUAAUUAGUCAGGCUUACCUCAUUUUCAUUCUAAUUGAUGAUAGAUCAGGAAUCGCCUAAAUAAGAGAUGGCUCGAUCCCGAGACUGCUUGAUCCGGAAACGAUAUUUCUGAAUAAGUGCCCAGAGUUGCUUUCUAAGUCAGUGAUAUCAGCAGUAGAUCUGAGACUAACACAUCCGGCUCGAUUUUCUUGGGCUGCAUAGUUUUCUUGGAUUUGAUAAAUCGUUAAAUCAAUAUUUUUGCUCUGAGUCCCCAAGCUAAUUUAAGCCUUGUAGCAUAUGCUUCAUACUCGGCUUUGUUGUUAGUAAUAAAAUAACAUUUAUGAAU
rnacentral:lncRNA from 1 species